GUAACAAAGGGAAUUAGAGAAGACUAUUGCCGAAAACUCUUGAAGAAUAGAUAUUGGAAGAGUGUGCCUCUUUACCUUCUCUCACAAAUCAUUCUUCUGAAAUUUUGGUUUCAAACCGAGAACCAUCAAUCUCUCAACAUUCACCUUUCUUAUCUGUUCUCACUUAAUCCCUGGGAUUCCUUGCCUCCUUACAAAGCGGUUUGACUCAUUUCUUCAUCGUCAUAGCUCACUCUCGGUUCUAUCUCCCCUCCACUUUUUCAAUCUCGGACAAACUCUAUCCACCUGAGAAGCUUACCCUUCGUAACAUUCUUCAACGCUAAGAUGAAUCCAAAUGGAUCACAAGGUUCCAGUGGAUCUGCUGGUCCAGGUCGUGGGUUUGGUGGUCCGCGUGGCGGUGGUGGUGGUCCCUGUGCUGAUGGACGUGGUGGCAGAGGUGAUGGACGUGGUGGUAGAGGUGAUGGUCGUGGUGCAGGACGUGGUGUUGCUAUUGGUCAUAUUGGCGGCAGAGGUGAAGGUCGUGGUGAAGGUGCUGGUGGUGCCUUUGGUGGUGGGCGUGGUUUUGCUAUUGGUGGGGGUCGUGGUGAUAGUCGAACUUACGGCAGAGGUGAACGCGGCGGAGGGCGAAUUCACGGACAGGGCAGAGGGUGACAUGGCGGAAGGGGAAUAAACAAUCAGCAACUUACCAUUGAUGCCUUAUUAGCACAAGAAUCCAGGAGCUUCGAGAGUUAAUUGUAACUGACCAUGAGCUUCGAGAGUUAAUGGUAAGUUACUGACCAUGAGUUUAUUGUAACUGAUCACAUUCUCAGAGAGACUCACCGCAAAGCUGAUGACACUUUUGUUGAUGAAAAGGCGAGGUCGAUCGAAGAAGAGAUUCAAAGACAGAUUGAUUCAAUAAACUCUGUUUCUUACUCUGUUUCGUUUACUCUGUUUUGAUAUUGUGAAUCCUGACUUAACGUUAUCAAAUGGCGCCUCACAAGGAGAUUCAGAUUGCACAGGUUUGACUCGGCUUGAGGAGGAUGAGCUGUUCUAUAAGGUGGUACCAUCUCAGAAUGGGAGGAUCUUCGGUCUCCGGGGACAAAACUACAUUUGUGAGCGUGGAGAAAGCUCAGUUGGUGCACUGGAAAGACUCUCUCUUGAACGUCAACUGACUUCUCUUCAAGAGCAGCUGGCAACUGUUGUGGAAUAUAUGCCUCAAGGUUCCUCAAACUCUUUCCCAUCGGCUCAACCAACAAAUGCUACGGGUGAUUCUAUAGUCUUUUGGAUUAAAACUCUGCUCUGUUCUAUUGUUUAAAACUCUGUUCUGUAAUCUUUUGUCUGUUGUACGCUUGUAAAACUCUAUGUACCUUUUUUUUUUUGGGUCAAGCUCUAUCUAUCUAAUUGUGUACUUUCGUUUC